GCGGGUGUAGCUCAGCUGGUUAGAGCAUUAGUUUUCCAAACUAAGGGCCACGGGUUCGAAUCCCGUCUCCCGCUCCA
rnacentral:tRNA from 1 species